CUACGGGACGCUCCAGUGAGGAAUUUUGCGCAAUGGGGGGAACCCUGACGCAGCAACGCCGCGUGAGUGAUGAAGGCUUUCGGGUCGUAAAGCUCUGUCAAGUGGGAAGAACCUAUGCAGUGUUAAUAUCACUGUAUACUGACGGUACCACUGAAGGAAGCACCGGCUAACUCCGUGCCAGCAGCCGCGGUAAUACGGGGGGUGCAGCGUUAUUCGAAUCAUUGGGCGUAAAGGGCACGUAGGCGGCUUGGUAAGUCAGAUGUGAAAGCCCGGGGCUUAACCCCGGAAGUGCAUUUGAUACUGUCAGGCUUGAGUAUGGGAGAGGGAAGUGAAAUUCCUGGUGUAGAGGUGAAAUUCGUAGAUAUCAGGAGGAACACCGGUGGCGAAGGCGACUUCCUGGACCAAUACUGACGCUGAGGUGCGAAGGCGUGGGUAGCAAACAGGAUUAGAUACCCUAGUAGUC
rnacentral:rRNA from 1 species